GGGNAGNNCNNNNGCUAUACAUGCAGUCGAGCGGAUCGAUGGGAGCUUGCUCCCUGAGAUCAGCGGCGGACGGGUGAGUAACACGUGGGUAACCUGCCUGUAAGACUGGGAUAACUCCGGGAAACCGGGGCUAAUACCGGAUAACACCUACCCCCGCAUGGGGGAAGGUUGAAAGGUGGCUUCGGCUAUCACUUACAGAUGGACCCGCGGCGCAUUAGCUAGUUGGUGAGGUAAUGGCUCACCAAGGCGACGAUGCGUAGCCGACCUGAGAGGGUGAUCGGCCACACUGGGACUGAGACACGGCCCAGACUCCUACGGGAGGCAGCAGUAGGGAAUCUUCCGCAAUGGACGAAAGUCUGACGGAGCAACGCCGCGUGAGUGAAGAAGGUUUUCGGAUCGUAAAACUCUGUUGUUAGGGAAGAACAAGUGCCGUUCGAAUAGGGCGGCGCCUUGACGGUACCUAACCAGAAAGCCACGGCUAACUACGUGCCAGCAGCCGCGGUAAUACGUANGUGGCAAGCGUUGUCCGGAAUUAUUGGGCGUAAAGCGCGCGCAGGUGGUUUCUUAAGUCUGAUGUGAAAGCCCACGGCUCAACCGUGGAGGGUCAUUGGAAACUGGGGAACUUGAGUGCAAAAGAGGAAAGUGAAAUUCCAAGUGUAGCGGUGAAAUGCGUAGAUAUGUGGGAGGAACACCAGUGGCGAAGGCGACUUUCUGGUCUGUAACUGACACUGAGGCGCGAAAGUCGUGGGGGAGCAAACAGGAUUAGAUACCCUGGGUAGUCCACGGCAGUAAACGAUGAGUGCUAGGUGUAGAGGGAUUUCCGCCCUUUAGUGCUGCAGCUAACGUCANNAGCACUCAGAC
rnacentral:rRNA from 2 species